CUCUCCCUCUCCCUCUCCCUCUCCCUCCACGGUCUCCCUCUGAUGCCGAGCCAAGGCUGGACGGUACUGCUGCCAUCUCGGCUCACUGCAACCUCCCUGCCUGAUUCUCCUGCCUCAGCCUGCCGAGUGCCUGCGAUUGCAGGCGCGCACCGCCACGCCUGACUGGUUUUCGGUUUUUUUUGGUGGAGACGGGGUUUCGCUGUGUUGGCCGGGCUGGUCUCCAGCUCCUAGCCGCGAGUGAUCCGCCAGCCUCGGCCUCCCGAGGUGCCGGGAUUGCAGAUGGAGUCUCGUUCACUCAGUGCUCAAUGGUGCCCAGGCUGGAGUGCAGUGGCGUGAUCUCGGCUCGCUGCAACCACCUCCCAGCCGCCUGCCUUGGCCUCCCGGAGAGCCGAGAUUGCAGCCUCUGCCCAGCAGCCACCCCGUCUGGGAAGUGAGGAGCGUCUCUGCUUGGCCACCCAUCGUCUGGGAUGUGAGGAGCCCCUCUGCCUGGCUGCCCAGUCUGGAAAGUGAGGAGCGUCUCUGCCCGGCCGCCAUCCCAUCUGGGAAGCGAGGAGCGCCUCUUCCCCGCCGCCAUCCCAUCUAGGAAGUGAGGAGCGUCUCUGCCCGGCCGCCCAUCGUCUGAGAUGUGGGGAGCACCUCUGCCCCGCCGCCCUGUCUGGGAUGUGAGGAGUGCCUCUGCUGGGCCGCAGCCCUGUCUGGGAGGUGGGGAGCGUCUCUGCCCGGCCGCUCCGUCUGAGAAGUGAGGAAACCCUCUGCCUGGCAACCGCCCCGUCUGAGAAGUGAGGAGCCCCUCCGUCCGGCAACCACCCCGUCUGGGAAAUGAGGAGCGUCUCCGCCCAGCAGCCACCCCGUCCGGGAGGGAGGUGGGGGGGGUCAGCCCCCCGCCCGGCCAGCCACCCCGUCCGGGAGGUGAGGGGCUCCUCUGCCCGGCCGCCCCUACUGGGAAGUGAGGAGCCCCUCUGCCCGGCCAGCCGCCCCAUCCGGGAGGGAGGCGGUGGGGGGGGGGGUCGGCCAGCCGCCCCGUCCGGGAGGGAGGUGGGGGGGUCAGCCCCCCGCCCGGCCAGCCGCCCCGUCUGGGAGGUGAGGGGCUCCUCUGCCCGGCCGCCCCUACUGGGAAGUGAGGAGCCCCUCUGCCCGGCCAGACGCCCCGUCCAGGAGGGAGGUGGGGGGGUCAGCCCCCCGCCCGGCCAGCCGCCCAGUCCGGGAGGGAGGUGGGGGGUCAGCCCCCCGCCCGGCCAGCCGCCCCGUCUGGGAGGGAGGUGGGGGGAUCAGCCCCCCGCCUGGCCAGCCGCCCCAUCCGGGAGGUGAGGGGCGCCUCUGCCCGGCCGCCCCUACUGGGAAGUGAGGAGCCCCUCUGCCUGGCCAGCCGCCCCGUCCGGGAGGGUGGUGGGGGGGUCAGCCCCCGCCCGGCCAGCCGCCCCAUCCGGGAGGUGAGGGGCGCUUCUGCCCGGCCGCCCCUACUGGGAAGUGAGGAGCCCCUCUGCCCGGCCACGACCCCGUCUGGGAGGUGUGCCCAGCGGCUCAUUGGGGAUGGGCCAUGAUGACAAUGGCGGUUUUGUGGAAUAGAAAGGCGGGAAGGGUGGGGAAAAAAUUGAGAAAUCGGAUGGUUGCCGGGUCUGUGUGGAUAGAAGUAGACAUGGGAGACUUUUCAUUUUGUUCUGUACUAAGAAAAAUUCUUCUGCCUUGGGAUCCUGUUGAUCUGUGACCUUAUCCCCAACCCUGUGCUCUCUGAAACAUGUGCUGUGUCCACUCAGGGUUAAAUGGAUUAAGGGUGGUGCAAGAUGUGCUUUGUUAAACAGAUGCUUGAAGGCAGCAUGCUCGUUAAGAGUCAUCACCACUCCCUAAUCUUAAGUACCCAGGGACACAAACACUGCGGAAGGCCAAGGCCGCAGGGUCCUCUGCCUAGGAAAACCAGAGACCUUUGUUCACUUGUUUAUCUGCUGACCUUCCCUCCACUAUUGUCCUAUGACCCUGCCAAAUCCCAAC
rnacentral:lncRNA from 1 species